rnacentral:rRNA from 3 species
UGGGGAAUAUUGCGCAAUGGGGGCAACCCUGACGCAGCAACGCCGCGUGCAGGAAGAAGGUCUUCGGAUUGUAAACUGUUGUCGCAAGGGAAGAAGACAGUGACGGUACCUUGUGAGAAAGUCACGGCUAACUACGUGCCAGCAGCCGCGGUAAUACGUAGGUGACAAGCGUUGUCCGGAUUUACUGGGUGUAAAGGGCGCGUAGGCGGACUGUCAAGUCAGUCGUGAAAUACCGGGGCUUAACCCCGGGGCUGCGAUUGAAACUGACAGCCUUGAGUAUCGGAGAGGAAAGCGGAAUUCCUAGUGUAGCGGUGAAAUGCGUAGAUAUUAGGAGGAACACCAGUGGCGAAGGCGGCUUUCUGGACGACAACUGACGCUGAGGCGCGAAAGUGUGGGGAGCAAACAGG